GGUCAGGGCCGGGGUCAGUGCGCGCCCUGUAGGCGGCGCUGCUGCGCCUGCUGCCUGCCCCAGCCGCCACGGCCUGGGCUCGACGGAGGCGUCCGCGGCACCUGGGGCCCGGCUGCGGCACCCACCGCGCCCUUCUCCACCCCAAACCGACCCUGCCGUCUUGCUUCAGCCCAGCCUGAGCACAGACACUGCUUUCUCAGCGCACACAACGCAGAACAAUUGCCUCUCUCCCCAAGGCUUCUGCUGCACGCAGGACGCCCCCACCCACACCUGCUUAGAGCUUCCCCUCGGGCAUGGAGAGAGCAAUGAGCUCUGCCCUCGGCCUCCCCUGCUCCGGGCUGGAGACCCUCAGCUCCCGCCGUUGCUCCUCUGCAGCCCUGUUCUGCAGAGCCGAGAGCAGCUUUGCUGUCCUUCCCUGGGCCUGCUGCAGGUCCUCAGUGUCGUCCUUGGAGCGCAGGGCCCAGCAGCAGGUGAGGCUGCAGCCGUGCCGGGAGCAGCGAUGACUUCCAACAGAGGAGCGUGGCGCAGGGGCACAGAGAGGUGUUUUACCCAGCUCAGAGCUGUUUGCAUGUGUUGCCCAGGGAAGCUCUAUGCUGUUUCUAAGAGGCUGUUUUGCCAGGAAGUAGCCCUGGCCACAUGAGCAGGGCUGGGAGCUGGUGCCAGGCAGCACCUGGGCUGCACCCCUUGGUG